rnacentral:rRNA from 1 species
UACGAAGGGUGCAAGCGUUACUCGGAAUUACUGGGCGUAAAGCGUGCGUAGGUGGUUUGUUAAGUCUGAUGUGAAAGCCCCGGGCUCAACCUGGGAAUGGCGAUGAAGACUGCAAGGCUUGAAUCUGGCAGAGGGGGGUAGAAUUCCACGUGUAGCAGGUGAAAUGCGUAGAGAUGUGGAGGAACACCGAUGGCGAAGGCAGCCCCCUGGGUCGAAGUUGACGCUCAUGCACGAAAGCGUGGGGAGCAAACAGG